AGGUAGUAAUAAAGAUUUAAACCUUAUUAUUUUGGCGGCAUUUCUUUCUAUCAGAGGAACUUGUUUUUUAAUCGAUAAUCCACGUUAAUUUUCACUUUAUUUUAAAAUUUAUAUACCGCCAUCAACUUGAAUUUUUUUUCAAAAUAAUUCUUAAUAUAUAUAUAUUAAAAAGAUAGGUCAAGGUGUAAUAUAUAAUAAAGUUUUAAUGAGUUACGUUGAAAAUAAUUUUAGGAUUAAAAAUUUAAAUUUUUUUAUAAAAAAGGAUUUGAAAGUAAUUUUAUAAUAAUAAUUUUAUAUGAAAUUUUAAAAAAUGUGC
rnacentral:rRNA from 1 species